rnacentral:rRNA from 1 species
GUCUAUGGCCACACCACCCUGAACACACCUGAUCUUGUCUAAUCUCAGAAGCUAAGCAGGGUCAGGCUUGGUUAGUACUUGGAUGGGAGGCAAUAGUCAUUCUAACAGGUGUAAGGU